CACUCCUGCGGGAGGCAGCAGUGGGGAAUAUUGCACAAUGGGCGCAAGCCUGAUGCAGCCAUGCCGCGUGUAUGAAGAAGGCCUUCGGGUUGUAAAGUACUUUCAGCGGGGAGGAAGGCGAUAAGGUUAAUAACCUUGUUGAUUGACGUUACCCGCAGAAGAAGCACCGGCUAACUCCGUGCCAGCAGCCGCGGUAAUACGGAGGGUGCAAGCGUUAAUCGGAAUUACUGGGCGUAAAGCGCACGCAGGCGGUCUGUCAAGUCGGAUGUGAAAUCCCCGGGCUCAACCUGGGAACUGCAUUCGAAACUGGCAGGCUAGAGUCUUGUAGAGGGGGGUAGAAUUCCAGGUGUAGCGGUGAAAUGCGUAGAGAUCUGGAGGAAUACCGGUGGCGAAGGCGGCCCCCUGGACAAAGACUGACGCUCAGGUGCGAAAGCGUGGGGAGCAAACAGGAUUAGAUACCCGAGUAGUCCCAUGA
rnacentral:rRNA from 1 species